CAAGUUCUGUCGCAGCUGCAGAGAUGCUUUCCGUGGGCACAGGGUCGUUCGCUCUCUAGAAUUCAUCAUCCUUUCCUACCGUUGACCGUGUAGCAUUGUUUCGCCCUUCGAAAGUGAGGUCCUGGAGGUCGGGCAGUGCCGCGUUGACCUGUGUGUUUUACGGUGCCUGGAACGGUCGACGCUGUUGAAUUGCGUUUGUUAUGGAUUAGGGACAAACUGACGGCACGGAUUUCAAAGACCUUCUUUAGCCUUUAGGGGAACCUGCAGUCGAAAAGCCCAGGCUGGGCGUCACAGAGGCUUUGGGUUGGAAUCUCGAAUCUGCUACUUUCAGUUAUUAAGAGGAAUAAACAAACAAACCAAUGAGAUUGAAAAACUCAAAGACAGCUCUGCCGGCAGUGAGUCUGAGAUGGGGGAACUGAGACGUGAAACAGAAAUCGCCACUUGGCAAAACUGUCCAGGAACUUGCAAAAUAGAUAAACUGGACUCAGCCACAGCACGCGGGAGAAACUAAGCUCAGACUCUCACAGCCAGCUGUGCAGACCCGAGUGUUUUAACAGGACGUCAGGCGAACUGAUCCAACGCCUCAUGUUUCUACUGGUAGGUGGAUGUUGAACAGAACUACAGAAAGCUCUUUGGGAUAAUCAAGUCUCUCCCCUCAUUUCCAGUUUCUAAGGAUUUAUGGAAGAGAUGCCGAUACCGUUGGUCUGAGCUGGGGCCUCUGCAUCAGGACAUUUUAAGGAAAUGGUUUCUGAGGAGACAGUGUGGCCGGGGUUUUCACGAUGACGAAGGGCCUGUGAAUCCGGGUUGGAGCUCCCUGACCCUCGCCUGCCCGCCUCCCAUCUGGGUCUGCACUUGGCCCUGUUGCUUCCUUUCGCCCGGAAGCAAUAUGCCCCCUCUAGCCAGCGUUUAUGCACUUUGUGG
rnacentral:lncRNA from 1 species